rnacentral:misc_RNA from 1 species
GGUUCAAUAUCCCACCCUUCUCNCUCYCAUUUAUUUGUGUGUGAGGCGUGUGUGUGGGGAUAAAUCNCAGUCUCGCCCCGUCAAACGGACGAGUCUGCNGAAGUCAACAAGGUGCCUCAAAGUGUGGUGUUCGGUCUCUCGGGAUCGUUCAUCAUCYCAAGCCGCACUNGAAUANACAUCUCGUAUGUCUUUNGACCUNGACGUCUYGCACUNUGAAGAUGCGUGCUAAAACCCACGUNCCCACU